rnacentral:lncRNA from 1 species
GUGGCUGUCCUUCCAUCAAUACCAGACUGAUCCAAUUAUUACAGCUUCAUAGUAAGGUGGUGUUUGGUUGUGUUUAGAACAGCAGUUGACAUUUUUAUAUUGCUCUUGUACCCAGUUAUCUUGCCAAACUCUCCUAUUAUUUUUUUUCUUUUCUUUCUUUAUUUUUGAGACAGAGUCUCUCUCUUUGUUGUCCAGGCUGGAGUGCAGUGGCAUGAUCUUGGCUCACUGCAACCUCCACCUGCAGGGUUCAAGCGAUUCUCCUGUCUCAGCCUCCCAAGUAGCUGGGAUUACAGGUGCCCACCACCACGCCCAGCUACUUUUCGUAUUUUUAGUAGAGAUGGGGGUUUCACCAUGUUGGCCAGGCUGGUCUCGAACUCCUGACUUCAGGUGACCCACCCACCUUGACCUCCCAAAGUGCUGGGAUUACAGGUGUGAGCCACUGCACCCAGCAAACUCUCCUGUUAUUCUAAUCAUGUACAGGUAGUUCCUUUUGGUUUUGUAAGUAAAAAAGCAUUAUCAUCUGCAAGUAUUGACAGCUUUUUAUCAACUUAAAAAGUUUUUAUGCACCUUUUUAUUUUUUCUGGUUUUAUUGCCCUAGCAAAACUCUUCAAUACAUUGUUGCCUAAAUGUGGCAAUAGAAUAAUUUUUUUUUUCCAUUUCUAACUUGGAAGAGGAUUCUUCCAACAAUUUUUCAUUUAGGGAAUGCACCACACUCUCGAUGUGCGUACAGAGAAGAUGGCUGGCUGGCUGGAUCCAGGGUUUUAAUGUUUCCAGGACAAGAGCAUGGGAACAACCAUCUCCUGGAAUGGCCCUUCCACAGGAAGAGAGGAGGACACAUGGCACAGAGGAAGGAUGGGGCACCUGGAUUCAAAAUCUGCUUACACCAUCCACGGAGCCUGGGAUGUUGAAGAAUUAGUUUUUUCUCUUGGAACUUGCUUUCCUUACUUGUAAAAUAAAGUUAAUCCUACAAACACUACAAGGCCAUUGUGAGGGUCAAAUGAGACCAGGCAUGGUAAAGUAUCUUGUAAACAGCAAAUUACGAAAAACAAAUACAAACAAAACAGAAAACGUAAAACAACAACAAAGGUCUUGGUUCUAAAGGACAUGAAACUUUCAUUUGACCCAAUUUAGAGAUCAUUCAUUCCUUCAACAAAUAAUAAUUGAAGCCCUGCGAUGUGCCAUACCUUCACACAUUCUAAGAAUUAUUCCUAUUUACACACUUUCAAGAAACCUAUCAUUUCCGGUUGGGAAGGACACCCACAGCAUCCCCUCUACCCCGGCCCCCAUUGGAACCCAUGGGGAUGCCUCUGCUGCUUUCUCAUUUUCUUUCCUUGGCCUUGUCCCACCUGAAUCACUACUGAAUUCCUCCUCUAACAGCUUCUUUCUGGGUGCCCUUGACUGGCAGAAGCAGCCAUGGCCUCUGCUUUAAGAUGAGCUCAGCUUGUGUAAAGAGUGCAGAUUAACUAAUAUAGGCUUCUCUGUUAGAGGGAGCCAAGUAUAUUUGUGCACUUGCCCA